rnacentral:rRNA from 1 species
UACGUAGGGGGCUAGCGUUGUCCGGAAUCAUUGGGCGUAAAGCGCGCGUAGGCGGUCAGGUAAGUCCGGUGUGAAAGUCAUAGGCUCAACCUAUGAAUGCCGCUGGAAACUGCCUGACUUGAGUCCGGAAGGGGCGAGUGGAAUUCCUGGUGUAGCGGUGAAAUGCGCAGAUAUCAGGAAGAACACCAAUGGCGAAAGCAGCUUUCUGGGACGGUACUGACGCUGAGACGCGAAAGCGUGGGGAGCGAACAGG